rnacentral:rRNA from 1 species
UAAGCGUGCGCAGGCGGUUAUAUAAGACAGAUGUGAAAUCCCGGGCUCAACCUGGGAACUGCAUUUGUGACUGUAUAGCUGGAGUGCGGCAGAGGGGGAGUGGAAUUCCGCGUGUAGCAGUGAAAUGCGUAGAUAUGCGGAGGAACACCGAUAGCGAAGGCAAUCCCCUGGGCCUGCACUGACGCUCAUGCACGAAAGCGUGGGGAGCAAACAGGAUUAGAUACCCCGGU